CUCUCCUGGUGCUCUGUGUUCCAGCAUUGUGUCAAUAAGAAGUGGUGCUGUGAAGAGAACAACAGUCAGACUGAAUGUUGAACAUCAGCUGCUUUCUCCUGCUGAUUUAAACCUUGUUGGACAGAUGGAACAUUGGCUGUGGAUUAUUCUGGCUGCUCUUUUCUCUGAAUGUAAAGGAGACUCAGUGAAGCAGACAGAAGGAGAACUUGUUGCUGCUGCAGGACAAUCACUGACUCUGGGAUGCACUUAUGAGAGCAGUGUGAGUGUCACAUUGUUCUGGUACAAACAAGAAGAAAACAGCUACCCAAAGUACAUGCUGAAGCAGCUGUCAUCAUCAAAAUAUAAAGCUCAAGAUUUUGACAAUGACAGAUUUGAUGCUGACUUCAAUAAAGACGAGAAAUCCUUCAACCUGAAGAUCCAGGAUCUCCGUCCGUCAGACUCUGCUGUGUACUACUGCGCUCUGCAGCCCACAGUGACAGGAAACACCAGAACCCUGUACUAAAACCUGCAGUACUCCACAGCAGCCACUAGAGG